rnacentral:SRP_RNA from 1 species
AAGCUGUAAUGGCUCAGAUGGAGAGACAGUCCCUUCGUCACCUGGUGGGGUGGUGUGCACGGGUUCGAGUCUCGCUGUUGAUCCUCUGAUUCCCCUACCGACUCUGGCGGGCAGCUGCCAGUAGCGGAGGGGAUUAAACACGGGGCCACCGGCAGAGGUUGGCAACAACGCACGUCAACCCCGGGUCAGAGGCAGUGCGACAGCGAUAGGAUUCACUCGAGCCGUCCCAGCAGGGAAGGGGGUCUCCACGUCUUUUU